UUGCACAAUGGGGGAAACCCUGAUGCAGCGACGCCGCGUGAGUGAAGAAGUAUUUCGGUAUGNAAAGCUCUAUCAGCAGGGAAGANNAANNNGNUACCUGAUUAAGAAGCCCCGGCUAACUACGUGCCAGNNNCAGCGGUAAUACGUAGGGGGCAAGCGUUAUCCGGAUCUACUGGGUGUAAAGGGAGCGUAGACGGCAGCACAAGUCUGGAGUGAAAUGCCGGGGCUUAACCCCGGAACUGCUUUGGAAACUGUGCAGCUAGAGUGCAGGAGAGGUAAGUGGAAUUCCUAGUGUAGCGGUGAAAUGCGUAGAUAUUAGGAGGAACACCAGUGGCGAAGGCGGCUUACUGGACUGUAACUGACGUUGAGGCUCGAAAGCGUGGGGAGCAAACAGG
rnacentral:rRNA from 1 species